UCUUGCCGGGCAUCUCGCUGGGUAACUUGCUUUAGAGAGCUAGCACCAUGGCGUCCGGCUGCAAAAUUGGCCCGUCCAUCCUCAACAGCGACCUGGCCAGUUUAGGGGCCGAGUGCCUUCGGAUGCUGGACUCUGGGGCCGAUUAUCUGCACCUGGAUGUAAUGGACGGCACCGUAAGCUCCCUGAAAGCAGAGACUGUUUCUUUGGCUCACCUCUGUAUUCUCUGCAGGAAAAGCACCAUGGCAAGCUUAAAUUAUAAUUGGUUGGAUGAAUGGCUUUAUCAUAAGGGAGGGAUCUCUAAGGAAUCUCUUUUGCCCCUCCCAGCCCUAUGGCAGACCCUGAGCUUAUUAAGGCAUUUUGUUCCCAACAUCACCUUUGGUCACCCUGUGGUAGAAAGCCUCCGAAAGCAGCUAGGCCAGGACCCUUUCUUUGACAUGCACAUGAUGGUGUCCAGGCCGGAACAGUGGGUAAAACCAAUGGCUGUAGCAGGAGCCAAUCAAUAUACUUUUCAUCUCGAGGCUACUGAGAACCCGGGGGCUUUGAUCAAAGACAUUCGGGAGAAUGGAAUGAAGGUUGGCCUUGCUAUCAAACCAGGAACUACAGUCGAGUAUUUGGCACCAUGGGCUAAUCAGAUAGAUAUGGCCUUGGUUAUGACAGUGGAACCUGGGUUUGGAGGGCAGAAAUUCAUGGAAGAUAUGAUGCCAAAGGUAAAAGAAGUAUUUGGUUCUGGGGUUCACUGGUUGAGGACCCAGUUCCCGUCUUUGGACAUUGAGGUUGAUGGUGGAGUAGGUCCUGACACCAUCCAUAAAUGCGCAGAGGCAGGAGCUAACAUGAUUGUAUCUGGCAGUGCCAUUAUGAGGAGUGAAGACCCCAGAUCUGUGAUCAACCUGUUAAGAAAUGUUUGCUCAGAAGCUGCUCAGAAACGUUCUCUCGAUCGAUGAAACCACAAGGAGUCCAGUGUUUCUGCUUAUGAGAUCUCCUUUUUACUGGAAAACAAGAAUAUUGACUACCAAAUCGUACCACAGUUGAGGCAGUGCUGCUUUUCUGAGCAAUUAUUCAUUCCAGUGACUAAAAUCCAUUUUGCAGAAUGUCCCAAGAGGUUAGAAAUUGUCUAGCUUUACCCUGUAGCAAAACCAGAUGGCUGAGAAUAUUCUGCAACUAUGGAUUUUGACUCCAAGGACAUAUAUUUUAUUAAUCCAAGAAAGACCAGCGGAAAAGCCCGUCGUUCCCACCCCAAAGACUGAAAGAGAAAACGGUUUCAGUUAAGUUUCAACUAAUUUAAGUUCAUGUCUCAAUCUGUAGAUGUCAGUUUUCUAAUAACCAUUGUUCUGUUCUUUAGCACAUAAAAGUACAAAUUCUCAUUUGGUCCUGAGUAUCUAGCAACUCAAAAUGGAACGUACUGAGGAUUACUUAGGGACCUUUGGGAAUUAUAUUUUUCACUUUGCCUCUUCCGCGGAGAGGGAAACGCUGCCAUUAGGGCGCUGGUCUUCAUUUUCAGCCUAGGAGCACUUUGGGGAAGGCCCUUUAAAAGUGUUUGGAUCGGCUUCCUCGGUAUCUCCAUUUUCAUCCCAUCAUUAUUCCAGACGCCUAUUGACUUUUCUAUCUCUGUGCUUUCUGUGACUUGCCUAUUAAUUUCUAUUGUCUCCACUCUCUUGAUUCUAGAUAUGGUUCUUCUUUUCCAACACCUGCUGACGAAGAAAAGUACAAGAACUUUAUAGAUGUAGUGCUAGAAAGCACUCCCAUUGGGGUUAAAACUGGAGAAAUGGGGAGACAAGUAAAAAUCUUUUAUAAGGGGAAGAGAACUGUCUAACAUUUACUAUGUGCCAGGUGUCAUUCUGUUUAAUCCGAUUUGGUUUGUAAUGAAAUUCUGAUAGAAUUCCCAUUUUCUAACACAUAAGUGAACAGGUGGAAUUAGGUACUGACGUGUUACGUAAAAGGUCAGGGAAGUAUCUGUAGUUGUUAGUGAUGGAACUAGAACGCUGGAACACAGAGCCUCUGAUUUCUACACCCAGCAUUCUGUACUGGACUGUCGUACUGAAUUCGUUAUGUAAUGACGACUCCUUAAUUAUCAAGAAGCAAUUCUAUGAACAAGUUUUUAAAAGUCAAUUAAAAGGAGGUUUAACUAGUUAUGUGUAACAC